CGCCCGUCAAACCACGAAAGUCAGCAAUACCCGAAACCGGUGGCCUAACCUUUAUAGGAGGGAGCCGUCUAAGGUAGGGUUGAUGAUUGGGGUUAAGUCGUAACAAGGUAUCCGUACCGGAAGGUGCGGAUGGAUCACCUCCUUUCUAAGGAGUAAAACAAAUACCAAAUUGCUUUCAUCAUAUUCAGUUUUGAAGGAUUUUCCUUCGAAAUAUUUAACUUAUUUUAAUAAGGGCCUAUAGCUCAGCUGGUUAGAGCGCACGCCUGAUAAGUGUGAGGUCGGUGGUUCAAGUCCACUUAGGCCCACCAUAUAAGGCUUUUUAUAGGCUUAUAUAAGUAAGAGAUCUUUGAAAAGUAGAUAAAUUCUGUCGUAACAAAAUAAUUAAAAAGACAAAAGGUUAAGGAAUGAAGGGCAUAGAGUGGAUGCCUUGGCAUUAAGAGGCGAUGAAGGACGUGACUAACGACGAAACGCCAUGGGGAGCUGUAAGUAAGUGACGAUCCAUGGGUAUCCGAAUGGGGAAACCCAACAUGUUGAAGACAUGUUAUAUGAUUUAAUCAUAGGCAAGACGCAGGGAAUUGAAAUAUCUUAGUAUCUGCAGGAAAAGAAAGUAAAAACGAUUCUGCUAGUAGUGACGAGCGAACGCGGAGGAGCCCGAUACCAUAAUAGUAAAAAAACUAAUAAAUAGAAGAAUAACCUGGGAAGGUUAACCAAAGAAGGUGAUAGUCCUGUAAUCGAAAUUUAUUAGACUAGGGUAUCAAAGAGUACAGCGGGACACGUGAAAUCUUGCUGGAACGAAUAAGGAGGACCAUCUCCUAAGGCUAAAUACUACUUAAUGACCGAUAGUGAACCA
rnacentral:sRNA from 2 species